AUUGCUUCUCAGCCUUUUGGCUAAGAUCAAGUGUAGUAUCAUUAAAUCCAUUUACCCAUGUCCUAAGAAUUUUUUUUAUGAUUCAUAUGUUUGGUGAACUAGUGCUUUUAAUUUGCUUCAAGAAUUUUUCCUUUGCAUUCACAACUUAGCUGUAUGGUGUAACAGGAGAAGCUUUUGGCACAUCU
ensembl:snRNA U2 U2 spliceosomal RNA